rnacentral:lncRNA from 1 species
GUGAGUUGUAUAACUAUUUCAUUAUAUAUUACGAUGUAAUAAUAAUAAGAGUAAAGUGCACAAUAAACGUGAUGUGCUUGAAUCAUCCCCAAACCAUCCCCCACCCUUAUCCUGUCCAUGGAAAAAUUGUCUUCCACGAAACCAGUCCCUGGUGCCAGAAAGAUUGGGACAACUGCCCUAACUGAUGUAAGAGUAUGGGCAAUAAGUGUUUUCAGUGCACUGAGUGAUUAAAGAUUGUUGGGGCAGGGUGUGUGCAAGUUGAACUUAGCUCAGUGCAUCCACUGGCAAGGAGGUGGUAGCAGGAAAUAGGCAUGUGGUGACUUCAGUAACAGAGACGACUGCAGGGCUGACCUAAGCUUAGUAGCCUGGCUUCUCCGGGAGCUGAGGGUGAGCAUCAUGCCUGCUCCAUCUCCCUCUUUGUUGUGGAUAAGGCAGGGUCAUCAAGACAGGAGGAUAUGAGGCAGAAUCACCACACAAGGGCACGGUGGCUCACACCUGUAAUCCCAGCAUUUUGGAAGGUGGAGGUGGGCGGAUCACCUGAGAUGGACUCAACGACUCUCUUACCGUCCAGCUCUCAAGUCCCUUCUCUUGUGAAAAUGGAAAAGUUGAACUACAGUUGAGAUAUUAUUCCCAGGUGUUCUUUGGAACACAGGGGAUUUCUCCAAAAGGCACAGAACAAAUUGCCUCCAAACAGCCAAGAUUCCAGCAGAAGCUGGAGUAGCAGACUACUUGGAUCUUCAAAGUACCUGGCCCUGAGUCAGUUAAGGAAGAUCUUUUCUUCUCUUUUGUACAAUCCUAUGAUGAGAGCUGCAAAGUGAACUGACUAAGAGCUUCUGCCUUGAUCAUUGACCUCCCAAUCCUAAUAAUAUGUUCACUGGCCAAACUUCCUAAUCGAUUUGUCUUUUGGAUAUAACGUUCCUCCUACUGUUUGCCUGAUUGAGAAAUCUGCUACAGAACAUGACCGGUUAGCAUUCCCACCAACCCCAGUGCUACACUGACUGUCUUUCGAUGGACUUUGCUCCUUGCUGCCUCUCUGAGGUCCCAGACCUUCAGAGUGACCUUCACAGCUCUGCCUAACUUUCUGUCAUACUUCUAUCAAGAGAGACAGCUAAAUCAAUAUUUUUAAUGUGCUUUGCUGUCGGAAUUCGAUGAUCUGUCACAGUUCUUGCCCAAUACACCCCAUCAUUAUUGUUAAAAUGUUUUUAGCUUUGUUUGUAGAAUUGCUUUAACUGGUUUCAUCUCUGGGAGCUACACUUUGAAAUAUAACUUUAGCAACAUUUUACUAUACUUUUUCACAACCCAGAGCAGUACUAUUUUAUGCUUAGUGGUUAAACUAAUUCCAUAAAUCUUUUGCAACUAUCCUCUAUUCUUUUUCUUGUAAUUUUUACCUGGGAAGGUUUUUACUGAUAAUCAUCCUAUCCUGAGUCAUCCCACAAACCAAUCUGUCUCACUAAUCAUUGCUUCUAACCUACAGACUAAGCAUAACUUCUGCUAAAUGAUCUUUGAUAAGAUGCUAUGACUCUAUAAAGUCUUUGAUAUUCAUGUCUAAAUUUAAUCACUUGUAGAUUUUCAUAGAAUCAAUCUUUCACUUCUACAAUUGGGAGUAUUUAUAAGUUGUUUAUCUUAAACAGUUCCUCUAUCACGCUUUUCACGUUAAAUAAAGCAAUCCCUUCAAAUCAAUUUUCUGUCAUGUCUAAGAUGU